CGAGGUGGGUUAUGUGACUUGGGUGUAUCUAGUUUAGUGUAGUUUCAUUUCACAGUGUGUUAUUAUUAAACGAAAAAUUCGUUAUGAAACCAUUGUUCAGCCAAUUUGGCGUUCGCCCAACAAAUCUGAAAUAUUCUUUGGACAUGUUGGAACAUGCAAAAGAUGUAUUUGCAUCACUUGUUUUUUAAUUUGUCGUUCAGCCUACGCGGGAAGGGUAAGAAUCUUUUCCAAGGGCAAAAUGACAAGCGGACAGGACAAUCAAGCAAACAGGGCCGGGGAAUCGACCAGGCAUGGACGAGUGCAGGAGGACAAAAGGAAAGGUCAAGAAAGCUGCAGGCUGGAUAAAGUUUCGUCAGUGCUACAGAAGGUUAAGGGCCGUAUGAUUGUCAUGACCAUCCAGGGUCGUGAAACAGCCGUACCAAGGCAACUGUGACGGAUGGAGACAGGCACACAACAGGACUACGAUAAGCUAUCUGGGGGCAGAGAUCAACCCUCUCGCGUGCCAACGAUUUUGGUAGGCUAUAGUGUGAGCCGUGAGACGUUGCCUGUGACGGGGCACGUUCCGCGCACGUGAACCAAUAUACCGGUAACGUAGGAACACUGGAGGAACACCUGACACGUCAAGUGUGGAGGAUAGUGAGGUAUCGGCCUCUAUGUUGGCCGAAAUGUUAGGAAAGUUGUGAGAGUGGACUGAAGGGUAGAACUAUAAACAGAUAGGGAAGGGGGAUUUUUUUCAGUGCAAGCACUGGAAUUUCUAACUCAAUUCACUCCGUUUUUCUUUGAAAUUCCUUUACAAAAUGAAACAAUUUUAGACCUACAUGUAAUGCUCAGAACGUGUACUGUGCACGAAUCAUUGUGGCUUCUUUCAGAAACAAUGUACAUGUAUAAACAGUAAUCCUUUUUCCAAUUCGCUUUUCAUGAUAGAACGGGGCCCAUUUUCGCAGAACACAAUCUAGUGGCUGACGCGCAGAACAAUUGUGGUUACACAUGGCAAGGACACCAAUGUUUUGGGUCUUUGCCAGCAAAUCGCCACGCUCGUAAAAAGACUACUACUGUGACUGGUUUUGACACUGACCACGCUUUGAUAUCAAGGAACUACAAGUGAUGCAAUGCUGACCACUGUUCUAUUUGUGGAGUGAAAACUGUCAUUACUCUUAGAAGCACGGUAUAUCCUUAUAAAACACGAACUUGCUGGAACCAUAUACUAGGCUGUCAUGUUCUGAGCUGGCUUGAAUUGAACAAGUAUAGAAACAUAAAAGUGCUGAUGACUGUCUCCAUAGUAAUAAAGAUUGGCACAUUGUUUUCAAUCAGUUGUUAGUUAGGCUUGACGGUUUUUAUUUAUUUAUUGUGGUUUUAAUUUAUUUGAUUUAAUUUACGGGAAACUGAGAAAAUGUCAGCAAAAAUAAACCUCGAGGACAAUCCUUGGAGGAUGGCAACAGAUAAAUGCUGCAUUGACCAAGACGUAUUGCUGCCUAUUAUUAUUUUGCACUAGACCGGUGCCAAGA